AGUUUCAGUAAGUUCACUACUCACAAUGACUGGGUAAGUUUCAUUAGGACUAAGGAACGCAUACCUUGCACCAUUGGGGAGAGGUUUAAGCUCCACUUUAGGCGCCUUAAGCUCGCUCCAGUCGUCUUGCUGGGCGUCCUCUUGUUAAAUGACUAAGGUUUCUUGAUGAACCACUUGUGGCAGCUCCUCAUAUAGAUCCUUACUACCAAAUCCUCUGUGUGAAUCCAUCAUCAUCCCGUAGGCAGCACUC
rnacentral:lncRNA from 1 species